AGGUAAUGAGCUGCAGCUGCGCCAGGUCAGAUGUGCCUGCAGGGAUUUCGAAAGGAUAUUCCUCGGUUGAUGCAGAUCGCGAGAUGGUUCAGCGACGGUGCAGAGUGUCGCUGAUUAUUAUACCUAUAGAAGAAUCCCGACGGUUGUUAGAGACGAGGAAGGAACGGGAGAUAUUUUACACGUAUCUCGGCGCAGGAGAAUCCCCGUCGAGGUUUUAAAAUAAAACGAGCGCAACUCGUCCCUUAGGUUUGAUAAUUUUUAAAUUUGCAACAUCGUGUAUGCCAACGACUCCUCGUAGUUGGACAACAAUGAACGGUCAACGUAUGAACCGUACGUCUGAAAAGAAAGGCUACUAGACGAGAAGAUAAAUUGCGACACUUUACCGUAUAAAAACAUUCGCAUUAUUUUACAUUCAUCCACGUACGUAUAUACACGCAUGUAAUACGUAUACGUCGUCAGCUGACACGGAAGACGCCCACGCGCACACAUACCCGAUUCUGUUAACGAGAUAAAAUUACCGUCUGACAAGGUAGCUUGUUAAAAAUUUACACACAUCUACACAUCUUUCAUGUCCUAACGGUAUAUAUAUAUAAAUAAAAUAUAUUAAACCUUAUGUACGCGCACAGAAGCCCCGAUGAUAAAUCAAUCGCGGAGAAGUAAAUGACAAUAAAAAAGGGGGGCGUGGUCGCGAACGUUUUAAAAAAUUUAACGCUAUUCACAACAGUUUUUGGGUGACUUCCAAUUUCAGAUUAUCCAAACGACUCGAAGGUUGAAGGAAAAGUGUUACGUACGGCCACGUAGAGCCGUUUAAAAUUAUUUUAUUUUUUUUUUUUCUCCACUCGUUCCCUCUCGCUGCGAAAUGAAGUUUCUUAAUAGUCGCGUACCUUCCAGUAUAACAUUGCAGACUCACGUAUAUAUGUACCCCAUUUAUAUGCACAUGCACACAGCGUAAAUCAUUUAUAUAUAUAUAUUUCAUAUACGUAGGUAUUCACGGCCGCAUAUAAAUGUACGGUGUAUGGUAAAACAUGUAGCUUACACACACGCGGUAUCCGCCUUCUCGGG
rnacentral:misc_RNA from 1 species